GAUGAACGCUGGCGGCGUGCCUAAUACAUGCAAGUCGAGCGAACAGACGAUGAGCUCGCUCCCCUACCGUUAGCGGCGGACGGGUGAGUAACACGUAGAUAACAUUCUUCUUUGUCUGGGAUAAUAUCGUGAAACCGGUGCUACUACCGCCUCAUAUAUCCAACCGCUUGGUUCAAUAGUUCUAGACGCUUUUGCUGUUUCUUAUAGAUGGAUUCGAGUCGCCUUAGCUAGUUGGUAAGGUAACGGCUUACCAAGGCAACGAUGCGUAGCCGACCUGAUAGGGUGAUCGGCCAAACUGGAACUGAGACACGGUCCAGACUCCUAAGGGAGGCAGCAGUAGGGAAUCUUCGGAAAUGGGCGAAAGCCUGACGGAGCAAAGCCGCGUGAGUGAAAAAAGUCUUCGGAUCGUAAAACUCUGUUAUUAGGGAAAAAAAAAUGUGUGGGUAACUAUGCGCGUCUUGACGGUUCCCAAUAAGAUAGGCACGGCUAACUACGUU
rnacentral:rRNA from 1 species